UUAUUUACACUAUGUAAAAUUUCCUCUUUUAUAUAAGAAAUUGCUUUUAAAAUUGCAAAAGAUUCCGCAGUAAAAAUACUACAUCGAGAAUUUAACUUAAACGCUUUACUACAUUUUUUUUGUGGAUCAUAGAAAGCAGCACUUACAAAGUGCUGAUUUUUAGAUCCAUCUGUAUAUAACUUAUAAUAAUAUUUACAAUUUUUAUCAAUAAACAUAAGGAAGUCUAUGUUUGACGUAAUAUUCAACAAAUGAAUUUUAUUUGUCAUAAUCAAGCUCUCAAAGGAGCAAGAGUACAUGGGCCAGGCGUUACUAACAUUUAUGUUAGUGGCAAUAUUAUGCAUAUAUGUCAUAAUAAUAGAUAUGGUAGGUUGUUUACCUGCCAAAAGUGAAUUUGCGGUCGCUUGUAAAGAUUCAGUUGUAGAUUUAGUUACAGUUAGUAGACUAUUUGGAAGCAAAAGUUUGUUCACUAUUGAAGAGCUCGAUGAUAGAGCUUUCAAACAAAAUCUUUCAGCUAAAUAUAUACGUCUUACAAUUAAAGGAGGAAUACAAGUCUCUACGUCCAUUGAAUUAACAGGUGUAGAGCGCAUAGCCCCACUUAUUAUGCGCAAGCCAAUGUUUUGAAUAACAUCAAGUUUUUUUAAUAAUGUGGAAUUGGCUUGCAUAUAUGCAAGAAAACUAUAAUCAAAGUGACUUCUGACCAUGCUUUUAUAUAAUAGAGAUAGGACUUUAGGAUCAGAGCCCCAAAACGUUCCAGUCAAACAUCUCAAUAAAUUAAUGCCUUUUAACGCAUUUUUGCUAAUAUAAUUAAUAUGUCUGUCAAAUUUUAAUUUAUUAUCGAUAAUUACACCCAAAAAUUUCUUUUGAUUUACAAAUGGAAUAUCUGUACCAUUAUAUUUGAUGUUAUUCCCCACUGGGCUGCCAAAAAUCAUACAUGAACUUUUGGAAGUAUUGAUAUUUAAUUUUAACAAAUUUUUAUAAUAAAACUGCAACUGGAACAGUGCAGAAUUAAUAGUAUUUUUAGCUAUUUCUAUAUUUCUAUUUACACUAUACAUUAACAAGUCAUCCGCAAAUUGUAAAAUUUUAACAUCUCCUAAUAAAAAAUUUUCAAUUUGUGAGGUGUAUAAAUUAUACAAAAUUGGUGACAAUGCUGAACCUUGCAUAAGACCUUUACUAGUUUUAUUUAUCCCAUGGAGUAUAUUAUUGUACUUAACAUAAAACUGUCUAUUAUUAAAAAAAUUUGAAAGCCAUUUUAACAUUUUUCCAGGGAUACCAAUUUCAUAAAGACAAUUGAUGAGCUGGUUUAAGUCCACAUUAUCAUAAGCCCCCUCUAUAUCCAAAAAUAUACAUACUGCUGUGGAUCUAGACAAUUGACAAUUCUUCAUAUCAUACAUAAAUGAAGUUAUACUCUCUGCUGCGCUUUUACCUCUACGGAAACCAUAUUGAAAACCUGGUGGACAAUAAACACAAAGUAUUGAUAAGUCACCAACAUUGGUUUCUAAAGAAAUUGCUAUGGAUUGAACAUCUUCAUAAAAUUUUGUUUCCAAAAGUUUAUAUUUAAAUGUAUUUCUUAAUAAAAUACCUACGCCACCA